rnacentral:lncRNA from 1 species
CUUUUUUAUUUUACUAUUUUCUACAUUGUAGAAUAACAGUGAAGACAUCAACUCUAUGAAAUAACACAUAUGGAAUCAUGUAGUAACCAACAACAACAAAAAGUUAAACAAAUCAAAAUAUAUGUUAUAUUUGAGAUUCUUCAAAGUAGCCACCUUAGCCGCCUUGAUGACAGCUUUGCACACUCUUGGCAUUGUCUCUACAUGAUUCCAAAUGUGUUAUUUCAUAGUUUUGAUGUCUUCACUAUUAUUCUACAAUGUAGAAAAUAGUAAAAAAUUAAGAAAGACCCUGGAAUGAGUAGGUGUGUCCAAACUUUUGACUGGUACUGUAUAUUACUUAAAAAUAUAUAAUAUUGGUGAAAUAAGCCUUUAUUAGUCUUGUAUGAGCGGAGAAAAAUACUCAGGAUCACCCUGACUGUGUAUAGCUGAUUAUUAGUGCAUUUCUUUGAAAUAUUUUACAAAACCAUUAUGUACUGUACCUCAUUAUAAAUGAAUGUGAAAGCUCACUGCACACGCUCUUCUCCUCCCUCUCUCCUCCUCCUCCUCCUCCUAAAGGGCAUCAGGUUUGGGCGUCGUAGCAACAAGCUGGAUUUGUAUUAUUCUCCCACGGUGGGCCAGCCAGGCAGUGGACCGGUGCCUGUGGUAGUGUUUAUAUACGGGGGAGCCUGGGGUUCAGGGGAGAGGUCCAUAUACUGUCUACUGGCCAUGCAGAUGGCUAAGGAGCUCAGCGCAACGGUGAUCUGCCCCGACUAUUGCACCUAUCCAAAGGGUAAUGUUUUGUGUAUGGUUCAAGAUAUUGCGGACUGUCUCAUUUGGGCGAGGGACAGCGGCCAUAAAUUCAACUUUGACAAAGAUAACAUUGUGUUAAUCGGCCACUCCGCUGGGGCUCACCUAGCAGCUCUAACCGUCCUGUUCAUGGUCGAGGGACGAGACGAGCUCUUUAUAGAUGCCAAGAAGCAGACAGAGAUCACCAUGGCAAUCAGAGGAGUUACAGGUCACUACGGGGUUUAUAGAGUUACAGGUCAAUACGGGGUUUAUAGAGUUACAGGUCACUAUGUGGUUUAUAGAGUUACAGGUCACUAUGUGGUUUAUAGAGUUACAGGUCAAUACGGGGUUUAUAGAGUUACAGGUCACUAUGUGGUUUAUAGAGUUACAGGUCACUAUGUGGUUUAUAGAGUUACAGGUCACUAUGUGGUUUAUAGAGUUACAGGUCACUAUGUGGUUUAUAGAGUUACAGGUCAAUACGUGGUUUAUAGAGUUACAGGUCACUAUGUGGUUUAUAGAGUUACAGGUCACUACGUGGUUUAUAAAGUUACAGGUCACUAUGUGGUUUAUAGAGUUACAGGUCAAUACGGGGUUUAUAGAGUUACAGGUCACUAUGUGGUUUAUAGAGUUACAGGUCACUACGGGGUUUAUAGAGUUACAGGUCACUACGUGGUUUAUAGAGUUACAGGUCACUAUGUGGUUUAUAGAGUUACAGGUCACUAUGUGGUUUAUAGAGUUACAGGUCACUAUGUGGUUUAUAGAGUUACAGGUCACUAUGUGGUUUAUAGAGUUACAGGUCACUAUGUGGUUUAUAGAGUUACAGGUCACUAUGUGGUUUAUAGAGUUACAGGUCACUAUGUGGUUUAUAGAGUUACAGGUCACUAUGUGGUUUAUAGAGUUACAGGUCACUAUGUGGUUUAUAGAGUUACAGGUCACUACGUGGUUUAUAGAGUUACAGGUCACUAUGUGGUUUAUAGAGUUACAGGUCACUAUGUGGUUUAUAGAGUUACAGGUCACUACGUGGUUUAUAGAUAUUGUCUUAGACAAUCAGACAGCUCAACAUUUGUCUCCGCAUUGAUGAGAUUUUCUUGUUUUUAAGCUCAGGCUUUAUUCCAUGAUCAAAUGAAAAACAGGAAGUUGUGUUGUAUUACAUUGAAUUUAGAUUUAAGAAAAAUAAAAGUUCCUUCAAAUAUCUUAAUUCCCCCCCCCCCCUUCUACGACAUGGUGUCUGUUCUCUGUUCAGGUUUGAGUGGAGUGUACAACAUCAUGGACCACUACGAACAUGAACAGAUGAGAGCUGUGGAGUAUGUCUCUACGAUGCACAAAGCCAUGAACGGAGUGGAGAACUUCCCUUAUUACUCACCAACACACCUACUGAAGAAAUUCAGCGAGGAACAACUGAAAAGGUAGGAUGAAGACGCUGCAAUACUAUACAGACAUUGACGAUAAAACUGAUUCGAUAGCUA